UACAGAGGGGCAAGCGUUGUUCGGAAUUACUGGGACGUAAAGGGCGCGUAGGUGGCCUUCUAAGUUGAACGUGGAAAUCCCUGGGCCUCAACCCAGGAACUGCGUCCAAGACUGGGAGGCUUGAAUCCGGGAGAGGGAUGCGGAAUUCCAGGUGUAGCGGUGAAAUGCGCAGACUAUCGGGAAGAACACCGGUGGCGAAGGCGGUCUGCUGGGCAGAGCUGACACUGAGGCGCGACAGCGUGGGGAGCAACAGG
rnacentral:rRNA from 1 species